GUAGGGGGAACCUGCGGAGGGAUCAUUACCGAGUUUACAACUCCCAAACCCAUGUGAACAUACCUACUGUUGCUUCGGCGGGAUUGCCCCGGGCGCCUCGUGUGCCCCGGAUCAGGCGCCCGCCUAGGAAACUUAAUUCUUGUUUUAUUUUGGAAUCUUCUGAGUAGUUUUUACAAAUAAAUAAAAACUUUCAACAACGGAUCUCUUGGUUCUGGCAUCGAUGAAGAACGCAGCGAAAUGCGAUAAGUAAUGUGAAUUGCAGAAUUCAGUGAAUCAUCGAAUCUUUGAACGCACAUUGCGCCCGCCAGUAUUCUGGCGGGCAUGCCUGUCUGAGCGUCAUUUCAACCCUCAUGCCCCUAGGGCGUGGUGUUGGGGAUCGGCCAAAGCCCGCGAGGGACGGCCGGCCCCUAAAUCUAGUGGCGGACCCGUCGUGGCCUCCUCUGCGAAGUAGUGAUAUUCCGCAUCGGAGAGCGACGAGCCCCUGCCGUUAAACCCCCAACUUUCCAAGGUUGACCUCAGAUCAGGUAGGAAUACCCGCUGAACUUAAGCAUAUCAAU
rnacentral:rRNA from 1 species